CAUUGAACCUCUUGUCUUUAGUGUUGUCUGAGCUUGAUAGCAAACCUAUUAAAACUUUCAACAAUGGAUCUCUUGGUUCCGGCAUCGAUGAAGAACGCAGCGAACUGCGAUAAGUAAUGUGAAUUGCAGAAUUCAGUGAAUCAUCGAGUCUUUGAACGCACAUUGCGCCCCCUGGCAUUCCGGGGGGCAUGCCUGUCCGAGCGUCAUUGCUGCCCUUCAAGCCCGGCUUGUGUGUUGGGUCGUCGUCCCCCCCGGGGGACGGGCCCGAAAGGCAGCGGCGGCACCGCGUCCGGUCCUCGAGCGUAUGGGGCUUUGUCACCCGCUCGAUUAGGGCCGGCCGGGCGCCAGCCGGCGUCUCCAACCUUUUAUUUUACCAGGUUGACCUCGGAUCAGGUAGGGAUACCCGCUGAACUUAAGCAUAUCAAUAAGCGGAGGAAAAGAAACCAACCGGGAUUGCCUCAGUAACGGCGAGUGAAGCGGCAAGAGCUCAAAUUUGAAAUCUGGCCCCUCCGGGGUCCGAGUUGUAAUUUGCAGAGGAUGCUUCGGGUGCGGCCCCUGUCUAAGUGCCCUGGAACGGGCCGUCAGAGAGGGUGAGAAUCCCGUCUUGGGCAGGGUGCCCGUGCCCGUGUGAAGCUCCUUCGACGAGUCGAGUUGUUUGGGAAUGCAGCUCUAAAUGGGUGGUAAAUUUCAUCUAAAGCUAAAUACCGGCCGGAGACCGAUAGCGCACAAGUAGAGUGAUCGAAAGAUGAAAAGCACUUUGAAAAGAGAGUUAAACAGCACGUGAAAUUGUUGAAAGGGAAGCGCUUGCGACCAGACUCGGCCCCGGGGUUCAGCCAGCACUCGUGCUGGUGUACUUCCCCGGGGGCGGGCCAGCGUCGGUUUGGGCGGCCGGUCAAAGGCCCCAGGAAUGUGUCGCCCUCCGGGGCGUCUUAUAGCCUGGGGUGCAAUGCGGCCAGCCCGGACCGAGGAACGCGCU
rnacentral:sRNA from 1 species